CAGCCCCUCGACACCUGACCGCACAGUGGUCGUGCAGUGGGACCAGGGCACGCGCACCAACUACCGCGCCGGCUACCAGGGCGCGCACGACCUGCUGCUCUACGACAACGCCCAGAUCGGUGCGCGCCACGGGCAGGCGGGACGGGCAGGACCCGGGGGCGGGAACGCCCCUCUGACCCCACCCCACCCCUAGGCGUCCGGCAUCCCAACAUCAUCUGUGACUGCUGCAAGAAGCACGGGCUGCGGGGGAUGCGCUGGAAGUGCCGCGUGUGCCUGGACUACGACCUCUGCACGCAGUGCUACAUGCACAACAAGCACGAGCUCGCCCACGCCUUCGACCGCUACGAGACCGCUCACUCGCGCCCGUGAGUCCUGGGCGCACCGGCUCCUGUGCGGCGGGUACCCAGGCCUUGCCACUGGGGCCUUGGCCUUCGGGGAGGGCGCUGCGGCCUAACCACUCCCAGGGAGCUGGAGCAAGUCUCUCCAGAGCCGUAGCCUUAAGCAAUGGUGCCAUGGGCGGGGCACAGAGGGUGGCCCUGGGUGGCUCUACAGGCAGCAGUGGCCAUCAGGCAACUAGCAUCCCCCAGGGUGGCAUGAGACUUCCAGGACAGCCCAUACCUGGAG
rnacentral:sRNA from 1 species